GGCUGGUUAGCUCAGUGGUUUGAGUGUGGUGCUGACAACAAUGACACCACCAAAAUCGCGGGUUCGAUUCCUGCUUGGUCCC
rnacentral:tRNA from 1 species